GACGCCAGCAUUAAUAAAAAGAACAUUCCUAAAAUAGCCUUCAGUUGAAUUGAGGACUAUUUCUUUUUUUUCCUUCUCUUCAAACUUUGGAGGCGUCUUUGUUGUUUCGAUCCACCACCAGACGCUGAGAAUUUACCUCUGCAAAUUCAAACGACGACGAUACUCUUUGUAAUCACAGCAGCAGAUCGAUCUUGAUGAUGUUGUUGAUGAUGAUGAUGCUAUAUGAAAUUGAUUAGAGAAAUCAGGCAUUGAAGUUUAGGUCGAUUUAGAGAAGUUUUUUUGCGAAUAUUAGUGAUUCAAUUCGAUUGACAGGAGAUUUCAUCGAAGUUCUUAGAGGGAAUAUGGGAGUUAAUACUACAGCAGUUGUUCAUUUUUGCAAUUUGAAAUUUUCACAUAUUUUCACAUCAUCAUCCAAAAUUGAUGAGCUAAAGUCGAUUGCUAAAUCUCGGUGGACCUCUCUUCGGAAUUCAGAUUUCUACUUUUGUUAUACGUUCGAUGGAAACAAAGUGUGUCUGAAGUUAGAUUUUCAGCUUCAAUCAAUGAUUUGUUACUGCAUAAUUCAUAAUGUCGACUCUAUUGACUUGUCAAUUGAAUUUGUUGGGGAUAGUUGUUCUUCAUUGGUAGAAUCAGCAGAUUAUGAUGGUGUUGUAGAUGAUGAUUUGGCUGAAGAUACCGCAACUGCUUUUAUUGAAGAUAUAGCACAAGUUUCUCGCCCCAGGAGGUUAAAGGAUUGGGAGAAUGUUAUUGGUGAUGUUGGCCAACGGUUUGUAGGAGGAGUAGAUGUAGUUCGUUCAGCAGUAGAUAAGCAUUGCAUAUUCACUGACUACCCAUAUGCAAUAGUGAAGAGUGCUCCCUACCGAUACACAGUUAAGGAUCAAUUACAGAAAAAUUGAUUUGGUUUGUGCAAAAGCAUAUGAAGCAAGCUCGAAAAGUAAGAAAUGUAAGAAAGGAGCCGUUAAUAUGAAGAAAUUUGGUAAGCGUAACAAGAAAGAAAUUGAAUAUGAUGAAGAAGGUACUAAAUGUUAUGUGUAUUUAAUUAGGCUUUGAAGGAUGAAGAAGGUACUAAAUGUUAGGUGCUCUAUCAGUUGUUACUUCAUUAGAGUGACAUGCUAAAAAGUUGUAUUUUUUUUUUCUUCCGUAGAACCAUAUGAAACAAGCCUGGAAAAUAAGAAGUCUAAGAAAAGUUCUGGCAAAAAAAAAAAAGAGAAGUUGAUUUGGUCAAAAAAAAUACUCUUUACAUUGUCGCUUCACAUGAUGCUUACAUUAGAUUUUAGGAAGAAUUGUUGAAGACGGCACUUUGAGAGAUGGAAAAAGUAUAACAUCAUUGGAGAAAGUUACAAGCAAGUGAGCCAAGACAAUACAAAAGUUUCAAGAGGUUUGUGCUCAAAAUAACCAUCUUCUGUUGCCUUCAUUUUAGAAGGGACUCUAAUGCCAGUAUGGAAUAAAGGAGCUUCCCUCGUGUACCAGCAUAUUUUGUGGUAGUUGGAGAUGCAAUAUUUAGGUGACUUGUUUCUGAAACAAUGAUAUCUUUUCAUUGGGCAUAGGAUUUUUCAUGUUUUAUUUUUAACAAAUUGUAUCUGGUUUGAAUGUAAAACUUUUUUUUUUUCUCUUUUAAUUAAUAAUUAAAAUUGUAACAUAGUAGGCAAGCGAGCAAGCCCUUUUUAUAAAAACAAUUUAUCUGGUUUGAAUUAAGUUAAAAAAAAUUUUUUGGUUAGUUCAAUAGUACAGCUCUACUUUUGGUAUAUCUAACUAGGCAACCUGUUGGAGAAACCUAAUUUCGUCAGCACAUUUGGCUUGCUAGUCGAGCUGCAGGCAUACUUAAUAUUACAAAUUCAUGAUUCAAAGUAGUAAAAAACUCUCAUUAUCUAUUACAGUUAUUCAAAAAAAAAAUGACACUUUAUACAAGUAGAUGAUAAGUGUUCGAGCAUUAAAUUUACUAUAUCAUAAUAGUCGGAGGGGACAUUCGCCCUUCAGCGAAACAAUCUACACACAUCUACA